GGAUAGCUCAGUCCGUAGAGCAGGAGACGCUUAAUCUCAGGGUUGUGGGUUUGAGCCCCACGUUGGGCA
rnacentral:tRNA from 1 species